rnacentral:rRNA from 1 species
AGAGACAGCAGCAGCCGCGGGAAUACGUAGGUCCCGAGCGUUGUCCGGAUUUAUUGGGCGUAAAGCGAGCGCAGGCGGUUAGAUAAGUCUGAAGUUAAAGGCUGUGGCUUAACCAUAGUACGCUUUGGAAACUGUUUAACUUGAGUGCAAGAGGGGAGAGUGGAAUUCCAUGUGUAGCGGUGAAAUGCGUAGAUAUAUGGAGGAACACCGGUGGCGAAAGCGGCUCUCUGGCUUGUAACUGACGCUGAGGCUCGAAAGCGUGGGGAGCAAACAGGAUUAGAUACCCCUGUAGUCCCUGUCUCUUAUACA